CCUACGGGUGGCAGCAGUGAGGAAUAUUGGUCAAUGGGCGCGAGCCUGAACCAGCCAAGUCGCGUGAGGGAAGACGGUCCUAUGGAUUGUAAACCUCUUUUGUCGGGGAGCAAAAGCCGCCACGCGUGGCGUUCCGAGAGUACCCGAAGAAAAAGCAUCGGCUAACUCCGUGCCAGCAGCCGCGGUAAUACGGAGGAUGCGAGCGUUAUCCGGAUUUAUUGGGUUUAAAGGGUGCGCAGGCGGAAGGUUAAGUCAGCGGUAAAAGUGUGAGGCUCAACCUCGUCGAGCCGUUGAAACUGGGUUGCUUGAGUGGGUGAGAAGUAUGCGGAAUGCGUGGUGUAGCGGUGAAAUGCAUAGAUAUCACGCAGAACUCCGAUUGCGAAGGCAGCAUACCGGCGCUCAACUGACGCUCAUGCACGAAAGUGUGGGUAUCGAACAGGAUUAGAUACCCUAGUAGUC
rnacentral:rRNA from 1 species